rnacentral:rRNA from 1 species
UACGUAGGUGGCGAGCGUUGUCCGGAUUUAUUGGGCGUAAAGGGCGCGCAGGUGGUGUGGUGGGUCCGUCGUGAAAUCUCCCGGCUCAACUGGGAGGGUGCGGCGGAGACUGCCAGACUAGAGGCACUCAGAGGCCGGUGGAAUUCCCGGUGUAGUGGUGAAAUGCGUAGAGAUCGGGAGGAACACCGGUGGCGAAGGCGGCGACCUGGGUGGAUACUGACGCUGAGGUGCGAAAGCGUGGGGAGCAAACAGG